UGUUCCUCCAUCCAUUCACUGCUCGCCUCAGCCUCUUUCUGCUUUUCCUCUUCACGGAAUCGUGACAGCUCUAGCUGCAGCGUCCCUGAACUAACUCGGUGCCAGUGGCGGAUCGCAGGUCGGAAUGUACGCGCAAAAAAUAGAAUCAGUUGUGGAAAAAAAAAAAAAAAAAAGAUAACUUUUUCUCCCCUUUUUAGAAAGAAGAGGAGGAAAAAAAAACACACAGCCCCUACCGUCCGCCCCCUCAUGUACAAUGCUGGGAAUAGUAACAGCACUGAGGCUGGGCUAAAUAUAGCAGCCAGUGAGUGUUAACAUGUCAACUUGAGCUGGAGCGCAGGGAAGCGGCUGCUGCACGUGUGACCGCCGUGGAUGUACAGAGUUUGGCUAUAAAUACCAAAAUCUUCCGUGCAGCUAAUGCACUCCGAACCGAUUUGUUCAAUAAUAAAACGAGAGAUGUUGCACAAAAGGACUGGGCUGGUUGAGGGGAAGCUAAAAUAAAUACCGAUGAAGCCAAAAUAGAAACCAGAGACAUACAUAUUUAAGAAUAAACUGGACAUUUUUGGUGGACCGAGUUCAUCUUAACAGACUCCGUUAAGGUGACUGACAUGACAGCCGUAUCGCUUGCCGUUUUCGUCUCAGAUAUUUUCACACGAUGGUGUUGCUGAAGGGCGGGUUGGAGUCUAACUAGCAGCGGUUUGGGAGGGGCGUUACGGGUUUCAGGGAUGGGAGGGGUGGGGGGCGAACUGCUUUAUUUUUAUCACAGCCGCCUUUAGAAAAUAGAAGGUAGUCUAAAAAAAAAAAUUGUCACUCACGAGUCCUUUUCAAGCCAAACACGCUUGUGCAGCAAAACCGCGCGCGCUUCAUUUGCAAAAUGGACGGAGCCUUUAAAACGACUCACAUGAAGCCGCUUUCCACUUUAUGUAAUCUGAAAUGAAGGCGAGUGUCAACAGGACGACUCUUGGAAAGAGUCCAGAUCCAGACGAACCCCCCCCCCCCAACACCCAAGGGCUACUGUGUCGUGUUGUCGCGCGAGAUUUGCCAGGUUAAACAAUAUUUACCCCCUUUCCCAGCAACACUUUCCCCAUCUCACGCGCGCACUAACAUGCGCGUCCACGUGCAGCCUAAAUCGCUGAUUCGCAAAUGCGGUCUAUUGAACACAGACGACGACCGACGGUGAACCGGCGGCCAUUGCUGCUGAACUGGUGGCUUCUUUGCUUUUUAACCCGUUUUUUCCCCUCCUCUUCCUCCUCCUCCCCUCCUCCUCCUUCUUUCUCCAUUCACAGGUUCUGCUGCAGAAACUCUGUGAAUGAGUGAGUCGGGGAGGUGGGAAAGAAAAGGAUGAAUGAAUGACUGCUGGAGGAGCUACAUCGCUGUGUGUGCCGUUCUUCAAGGAUCCCCUCCCUCAGCAUGUGGGCCCAUAGUAAACAUCAGGGCAGAACGCUGACUGUUUUCAAGAAGGAUGAAGCCUGCGAGUCGGAACGGAAAGCCACGAGGCAAAUGCAGGGAGACGUCAAACAAAUUAGGACCAUUAUGUCUACAACAGCCAACCACUCAUACACACACUUACACAGACACAAAGCUGCUGGGAUCACAGUGGAAAAAGUAGAGGCAACACACACACACACACACACACACACACCUGAGGCCAAAUGUUUCACAAGACGGUAUCGUUGUGUUUGCAUGUUUUAAACGAGGAAAGCGAGGGAUUAAUAAAUCACGUCUAAAGCAGA